GGGCCAAGAAGGCACUUUUGUAUGGGGGGGGGGUCUGUUUCAGAGACACAGAUGGCUCCAAACACGUCUUCUCCAUCUGUAAGAGAUAACAGAUGUGCAUUUAAAGAAAGGAAUACAUACAUAUUUAAUGAUUUAGCUUAAGCAACUGGGCAAAUAUUCAUUUUCUUAAGAUGGUAAUACAUAAUUAACUGAUAAUAAAAUUAAUUGGGUAAAACAGUCUAAAAAUAAUGCAGUACUUAUUACAUGAGGGAAUAUAACUGCCUUGAAAGAGGUUUAAUUGUUCCAGAGACUGACAAGUCCCCAAAAGCAGCCACGGGAAGAAGGUUUUUCCCGCUCUGGAACAAGGGCUCUGAGUGGGGCUUCAUGUUCAUCCUGUGGGAAUGGAGGGUGGAGAGGAAGAUGGUUCCUUGCAAUUUAACAACUUAACAAUGGGUUUAGAGAGACCCUAAUGUCUCCUCCCAACCCUAACCACACAUCUUCACCCCUGCCAGGUCAAAAAAUACAGAAAAGAAAGAAUCUACCACCAGUAUCCUUGUCCUAGAUGACAGGAGAGAAUGGUAGCAUAGGAGAGACGGUAGCAGCCUCAUGAACUUGCCCCUUUCACUGCCAAGUGCCAGACCCUGGGCUGGACGCUGUGGGGGAGGCUGGCUGGGCAAGUCUGCCCUGCAGGGAGGUCUGGGGUGUUUAGGGAAGGAGACAGGGACACAAAGUCCUCACAACUGCAAAAAGAAGGUUUUGGUCUUUAGAUCAGUGUCCCUCACACCUUCCCGGAGGCCGAGAUCGCUGACAUGUUUGUGGGCCUCACCUCCCAGGUGCCUCACAACCCCACACGAGCAGAGGGGGCACGAGUCAGAGGGGAGGGAAGGUGAUUGGGACUGGAGAGAGAUGUCCCAGAGGAGGUAGCCUGGGCAGGUGGGCUCUGACUGGCGCCUACAUGACAGGAGCCCGUAGGAAGAGGGGAGCGCAGGACAACUGGGGUUGGGUUGGACUAAAGCGGGACCGGGAAGGGUGUGGUAAGAGAUGAGGCUGGAUGGGUGGGCUGGAGGAGGGGGUCCCAGGUGCGAAGGAAAAGCAGCUCUGGUCCCACCAUCGGCCCUGCCUUUUGUUAUUAAUCUCUCUUGUGAAUUCAGGUGGGAAAAGGUCUGCUGAGAGUCAUGCCAGAAUUCACAGGAGAAAGAUUCUGUAAUUUCUUUGAGCUCUGUGACUCUGGACAAAGUAUUCAGUAUUAAUGCAGUUGACCAUGACGUCUUCUGUGUGUGCAACUGACAGACCAAAUUACCUUUCCUUAUCUCCUGGCAAGAAAAAAGGACCAUUUACUUGACAUAUUUCAUAAUCAUUUCACCUGCUUGCCCCUACAGAGAGCACCAGUGACCCGGCCCCCUCCCCUCCCACCCGAUGCAGGAAGUAUGUCGUCUAAUAAGCCCAGUUUCUAAAGAAUGUUUUUAAUCUUGGUAUAGUGAAUGUGAUUUGCGAGUGUAUUGUUAAUUCUCCAUCUACUUUUUUAAAAGCACACGCUUUUGUUCUAAUUCUCAUCUUAGCUCAUCAGGGCCAGGAGGAAGCUUCGAUGUCUUCCAUUUCAUGGCGCUAUUUGGCAUUUGACAGGCUGGAAGCCACACCAAGCAUCAGAUGAGAGGAUAAGAAACCAGCCCUUGCCCAGAGGUUCCUGGGUCCCAGAGAACAAAAUCCAAGUGUGGGAAGGGCUUGCCCACUGGCCAGGUACUGUGCACAGCCUCUCAGGGCACCUGUGGAUUUCUAGUCAGUGUGUCUUGGGGCUACUGAGAACCUGGCUCUGGGCUUUGCCUUAGGAAGCAGUGGACCAGGAACUGCACACUCACAUCAAAUAUAAUAGUUUAUACAUUAUACAGUGAUUUGUCAUUAUGGAAGGGGAGAAUUUGGCUCUCAUCAACCACUCACAAUACCCCCCCACCCUGGAAUAAAACAGAAGCCAUCGGUACCAUCUAGCUAAGCUAGGUUGAAGAUACUCUGGACUCAACAAUUCUAUGUUAGGGCACAUGCCCUAGAACAUCUCUCCUGUGUGUGCACAAAAAGAUAGUGAUACCUGUGAUCCCAGUGCUUUGGGUGGUCGAGGCAGAAGGAUCACAUGAGGUAAGAAGUUUGAGAUCAGCCUGGG